CGGGUGAGUAACACGUGGGCAAUCUGCCCUUCACUCUGGGACAAGCCCUGGAAACGGGGUCUAAUACCGGAUAUCACUCCCGCAGGCAUCUGUGGGGGUCGAAAGCUCCGGCGGUGAAGGAUGAGCCCGCGGCCUAUCAGCUUGUUGGUGAGGUAAUGGCUCACCAAGGCGACGACGGGUAGCCGGCCUGAGAGGGCGACCGGCCACACUGGGACUGAGACACGGCCCAGACUCCUACGGGAGGCAGCAGUGGGGAAUAUUGCACAAUGGGCGAAAGCCUGAUGCAGCGACGCCGCGUGAGGGAUGACGGCCUUCGGGUUGUAAACCUCUUUCAGCAGGGAAGAAGCGAAAGUGACGGUACCUGCAGAAGAAGCGCCGGCUAACUACGUGCCAGCAGCCGCGGUAAUACGUAGGGCGCAAGCGUUGUCCGGAAUUAUUGGGCGUAAAGAGCUCGUAGGCGGCUUGUCACGUCGGGUGUGAAAGCCCGGGGCUUAACCCCGGGUCUGCAUUCGAUACGGGCAGGCUAGAGUGUGGUAGGGGAGAUCGGAAUUCCUGGUGUAGCGGUGAAAUGCGCAGAUAUCAGGAGGAACACCGGUGGCGAAGGCGGAUCUCUGGGCCAUUACUGACGCUGAGGAGCGAAGCUG
rnacentral:rRNA from 1 species